GAUGAAGAACGUAGCGAAAUGCGUUAAGUAAUGUGAAUUGCAGAAUUCAGUGAAUCAUCGAAUCUUUGAACGCACAUUGCGCCCGCCAGUAUUCUGGCGGGCAUGCCUGUCCGAGCGUCAUUUCAACCCUCGAACCCCUCCGGGGGGUCGGCGUUGGGGAUCGGCCCCUCACCGGGCCGCCCCCGAAAUCCAGUGGCGGUCUCGCCGCAGCCUCUCCUGCGCAGUAGUUUGCACACUCGCACCGGGAGCGCGGCGCGGCCACAGCCGUAAAACACCCCAAACUCUGAAAUGUUGACCUCGGAUCAGGUAGGAAUACCCGCUGAACUUAAGCAUAUCAAUAAGCGGAGGA
rnacentral:misc_RNA from 1 species